GUCUCCAUGCCGUUGGGGAUCCCCUCCUACUCUGUGGGCUUGGCCACAUGACUCACUUUGGAUGACAGAACAGAAGAACAACAGGUCAGUGGCAGAGACCUGGAGAGAGCUUGUACUCUCUGGUGUUCUUGGGUACUGGAAGACUAGUACCACCCUCUAUGGGAUGAGAGGCCACCAGAAAGGAGCACCAGUCAUUCAACCCUGGAAGAUGAUUGGAUCAACUAGCUUCCCUCCACCCAGUGAGCCCUCCAAAUGAUCAGAGACAGAGUGAGCCCGGCUGAGAUCAGCACAGCCUCACCUAGACCAGAAUUGCCCAGCCAAGCCCAGCCCAUGCUGCAACCCACAAGAAGUUAAACUUUAAAGUGGCUUGUUAUGCAGCAAAAGCUAACUGAUACAGACACCACUCUUAGCUCCACAGAAGAGAUCUGAGAUUAAUAAAAAAAAAAGAGAGCAACUCAUAAUCUGGCACAGGAAGAGACGUGUGCAUAAAGAAACAUUGAAUCUCAACUAAGUAUUCAGGGAGGGAGAAACUUUACAUUGACCUUGAAAGACAUCAUCUAGUCAGACGUGUAUCACAUGUUGAAUGGAGCAGGCCCUGGCAGAGCACACACUCCAAGUAUAGCUCUCUCCUGCUGCCGCAUCGCCCAUGUGAAGGCAAGGUUGGCAGCCCUACUUGCAGAUGAUUUCAACUAACUUGUCCAAAUGCACAUAGAAAGAAAGUGCCAGAAUUUGAAUCUAGGCAAGAGAGAUCGGGGGCAAUAUAGACCAAAUCCAAUAUGUAUCUUCCAGAGUUGUUCUUAUCCCUGCCUGUCAGCUGUGAGACACAUCCAUAGAGGGGUAGUUUCACAAUUCCACAUUGAAUCCCUACACCCGCCUCAUUCUUCCUGCCAAGUGAGAGCAAGUAUCUGAAGGGAUCAUUUCUCUUGUUUAUUGCACCAAUUUGGGGCUGGCAGCUGAUCCACUCAACAAGGGGAUGAUGGAAGGACUAUCGUUUUCCUCACUUUAAAAGAUGGGAAAACUGGAACUUAUUGAGAAUAACUUAUCUGAAGUCACUCAGCUGGUUUUUCAGGUGACAAUGAGCAAAAAUACCACCACCACCUCCAGGUUGGCUACCCACCCCACUGAAACCCCAUGCUACCCAAGAACAUGGCGGCUGUGGAAGCACGUGUUGAAAACUGAGGAGACACAAGAUGGAAGGGUCUGGGAUUCCUGAAUCACUGCAUGGAAAAGAUCACCUGCUGAUCAGAUAUAAUUAAGGAUCUCACAAUAAGAUCAGAGAGAAAAUUAAAUUCUGAAUUCUUGUGGCAUAUUCAAAAUCCAGUGACAAGUAUCUUUACAAAAGACACACAGUGGACAAACAUCUGGAGAAGAGGAGAAGCCUUUGAAAAGAUGGAGGUAGAGUUGAAAGGAUGUGGGAACAAGGAACCACCAGAAGCUCAAAGCAGCAUGAAAGAAUCCUCCUCUAGAGGAGAGAGAACCACUUGGCUGUCACCUUGACUUUGGACUUCCAGCUUCCAGAACUGUGAUAGAAUGUCUACUGUUUAACCCACCAACUUUGUGGUGAUUUCUUCCAGCUGCCCUGAGAGACUAAUGCACUGGCCCUCCUAGAUCUUCAUCAUAUUGUCCAUAAGGAAACACUAGACCACAGACUACAGGAUAUACUCUGCAGCAUGAGUCCCCACUCCUAGGAAGAGGAUUUAGAGAAAAAUGAGCCAAUAAAAAGGCGAGUU